rnacentral:rRNA from 1 species
GACGAACGCUGGCGGCGUGCUUAACACAUGCAAGUCGAGCGGUAAGGCCCUUUCGGGGGUACACGAGCGGCGAACGGGUGAGUAACACGUGGGUGACCUGCCCUUAGCUCUGGGAUAAGCCUGGGAAACUGGGUCUAAUACCGGAUAUGACUCCAUGACGCAUGUUGUGGGGUGGAAAGCCUUGUGCGGCUAGGGAUGGGCCCGCGGCCUAUCAGCUUGUUGGUGGGGUGANGGCCUACCAAGGCGACGACGGGUAGCCGGCCUGAGAGGGCGACCGGCCACACUGGGACUGAGACACGGCCCAGACUCC